rnacentral:rRNA from 1 species
ACUCAAAGGAAUAGACGGGGGCCCGCACAAGCGGUGGAGCAUGUGGUUUAAUUCGAUGCAACGCGAAGAACCUUACCAGGUCUUGACAUCCUUAGAAUCUGUAUGAAAGUAUGGAGUGCCUUACGGGGAACUAAGAGACAGGUGGUGCAUGGUUGUCGUCAGCUCGUGUCGUGAGAUGUUGGGUUAAGUCCCGCAACGAGCGCAACCCUUGCUAUUAGUUGCUAACAGGAAAGCUGAGCACUCUAAUGGGACUGCCGGUGACAAGCCGGAGGAAGGUGGGGAUGACGUCAAAUCAUCAUGCCCUUUAUGAUCUGGGCUACACACGUGCUACAAUGGAUGGUACAAAGAGGAGCAAAGCUGCGAAGUGGAGCAAAUCUCAAAAAGCCAUUCUCAGUUCGGAUUGUAGUCUGCAACUCGACUACAUGAAGUCGGAAUCGCUAGUAAUCGCGGAUCAGAAUGUCGCGGUGAAUGCGUUCCCGGGCCUUGUACACACCGCCCGU